UAAAAGAUGGCUGAAAAUUUUAGGUAUUAGAUUGUAAAUCUAACUAUGGGUUUAUUUCCCUCUUUUAA
rnacentral:tRNA from 1 species